rnacentral:tRNA from 1 species
GCGCCCGUAGCUCAGUCGGAUAGAGCAACGGCCUUCUAAGCCGUAGGUCGCUGGUUCGAAUCCAGCCGGGCGCGCCA